GUCUAUGGUCAUGCCACCCUGAAUGUGCCUGAUCUCGUCUGAUCUCAGAAGCUAAGCAGGGUUGGACCUGGUUAGUACUUGGAUGGGAGACCACCUAGGACGACCAGGUGCUAUAGGCA
rnacentral:rRNA from 1 species